AGGAGCACCUCUACCCUUUCCCAUCCAGAAGGAACAGUUAAUCAGGGUCUGUACCCGCGUGGCCAUGUUCUCCUCUUGGAUUACCAUAGAUGGACAAUCUCAGAUACUCAGAUGCAGUGGAAUUCAAGCAUGAAACUAAACAGCUUCUCAGAUAUUAUCUAUUCAGCCAUCUGCUUGACACACAAUGGAUAACCUUCCAGAUUCAUGGAGCUGCAUCUGCCUUUUAAUCCUGUUGUAGUUUCCAUGAAAAUAAACUGAAGGCAUUACUUUUGGAGCAACCAAUGUGUAUGUGGCCCAAAACCAUUCCUCUUCACUCAGUACAGCCCAGGCAAGCCAAGAGGUUGGACAGCCGUGCUCUAAGGCUUCUGCUCAUCCAAUAGAGACUGCAAGGACUUCAGGUGAUCUUCGCCUCCUACUGAACCAGAGUGAGCACUGAGCAUCCUCAGGAAACUGCUCAAUGGCGACUUGCUAAGAGAGAAUUGUUUACUGAGGUUAUCCAGCAUAUAAUUUAAAUAGUGAGUACAAAAAAAUCAUCAUCUGCCUGUGGAGAGCAGAACAAGAAGCCAAAGUCACAAAGCAGAUUCAUCCAGCUCUGCUGGGAUUUCUGAAUGGGGAAAUGGGGACCUGCUUGUGAUAGGCUUUGAUUUAGAGCAUCUAAUCUUUUGUUGCUAUGAAUGCCAAAUUUUCCCAUAAGUACAUUAGCAGAUUGCAAAGAACUAAAACUGUGCUUUUAAACUGACCAGUGUAUUCACAUACGUUCAGGUUAUUGGUGAGAAUUUUUGAUUUAUGGACUAUAGAAAAAACAUAUUCUAAUAUCAGUGCCAUUUGCCAUUCUGUUGUUACAAACUGUACCUGGUGCAGAAAUGGCAAAAGACAGCUAUACCAAUUUGGCAAUUGUAAAUUUAAGCAACUGAUUUCUUUAGUGUUAAAAUGUCAUUCCUUGAUGGGAAAAAUAAAUAAAUGAAUAAAUACAUCCAAACCCAAGAGCUGCAUUAAAAAAAAACGAGAGGUAGACCUGCAGAAAUUAACAAGGUGGCAGGUGGCACAGAGAAUGCCUUCAACAUGUCUUGUGCAGAUACUAUAGGACCAGCUACAUCAGUGCUAGGAGUAGGAAAGGAAAGCAGGACAGAAGUCAGUGAGUAUGGAUGCUUUCACUACUGAGCUGUGCCCUGGAGACUGUAAAUUGAGUCAAACAGCUUUGGGCAGAUUGAGCAAUAGGCAUAUGCUAACAAGUAUAGAUGAAAUACUGUAAAACCAAGUGUUAGGGUGCUGUUUCAUAAUCAGUGUAAAGACAGGUCUGCACCUUCCGCCUUUGUGCCAGUGUCAGAAUUCAUUUGCUGGGUGGGAUGGUCCCCAUCCCCAGGACUGAUUUUGACUUCAUGACUUAUUCGGGUGGUGAAAUUGUCUACAAUUACUUUGUCCACAAAUUAGUUUUGACCCAAAGCCUGGAAACAUCAGUAGAAUACAAACAUCCUUGUUCGAGUGAAUUUUGAAUUGAAGGCUCGUAAGUAAUUUGACUCAAAUGACCAGACUUUGUGAAUGCGCCCAUGAUUCAAUUCCAUCCAAGCCUGGGUUUGGCAUCAAGUGAUGCGACUCCUGAAAAGAACAUUCUGAGUCCUUUUAAUGCAUCUUUUGGUAUUAUAAUUUGAGCUGUACAUUCUCAAGGCAUUUUCUCUGGGUCCAGCUUGCAGUUUUGAUUAUUCUUAUGCAAGAAUUGUGACUCUCAUAUCAAUCACAAGACUGCAGAAGCUGGGCUUUGGGGGAAAAUUCAGAACUUUUACUGCUACGGCAAACCAAAUAUGUAUUUGAUAGUAAUGGACUGUAAUCGGAAAUGCUGUGUCUACCAGAAGCCAGUCUCAAAAUUAUUUCGACUUGAAAUAUCUUCUCUGAAUAGCUAAAAAAAAGGGAAAAGUUUAUAUUCUAAUAUCAUCAGGAUCAAUACUGGACAACUUAGGACCUCCUACAUUUGGCCUAUGACUGUAAGUAACCAUUAUUUGUAUCACUGCUAUCACAUAAUCCAUGUUUGUGUGGCUGUUCUA